rnacentral:hammerhead_ribozyme from 1 species
UCACUGCUGAGGAGUGCCACAAUAGGACGAAACAGCUGUCCAGUGC